rnacentral:hammerhead_ribozyme from 1 species
ACCUUGCUGACGAGUGCCAAGUAACACGAAACCCGGGUCCAAGGU